rnacentral:rRNA from 2 species
AGGUUUGGUCCUGGCCUUUCCAUUAGUUAUUAAUAAGAUUACACAUGCAAGCCUCCGCACCCCGGUGAAAUAUGCCCUCUAAGUCACUUAGUGACCUAAAGGAGCUGGUAUCAAGCACACAACUAUAUGUAGCUCAUAACACCUUGCU